rnacentral:rRNA from 1 species
AAAUUGAAGAGUUUGAUCAUGGCUCAGAUUGAACGCUGGCGGCAGGCCUAACACAUGCAAGUCGAACGGUAACAGGAAGAAGCUUGCUUCUUUGCUGACGAGUGGCGGACGGGUGAGUAAUGUCUGGGAAGCUGCCUGAUGGAGGGGGAUAACUACUGGAAACGGUAGCUAAUACCGCAUAACGUCGCAAGACCAAAGAGGGGGACCUUCGGGCCUCUUGCCAUCGGAUGUGCCCAGAUGGGAUUAGCUAGUAGGUGGGGUAACGGCUCACCUAGGCGACGAUCCCUAGCUGGUCUGAGAGGAUG